rnacentral:lncRNA from 1 species
UGCAAGGACUAGGAAGUGUGACUCUUCCAUUAACACAGGCCUGUAGUAUCUGUCAGCUAUCAAGAUCCAUGGGAGCCUACAGGAUCUCCCAGUCCCUACCCAACAAAACUAGUUAUCCACUUCAAAGCUCCCUGCCCCCAGCUCACAAGCUCCCUUCCUCCCACUCUCUUGUAGCCAUGAAGAUUUCCCCCUCUCCUUGGGACUUGGAGAAAUCUUCCCCCCUUUUACCCACAG